UUUUUGUGUGGGUUUUUACAUUCAGAGAAAGUUACAGUGGAUCGUGUUUUUGGAGGAGGUGAAGUCCAGUCUAAAAGAGUCCCCUCAAGUAUCAUCACCAUGGUACAGUGUCUGUGAAGAUAGUGAAGCAGACCCAGCAUUCACAAAAAAGAGAGGUCCCAUAAGGAGAAGACCCUGGAGCAAACAGGAAGUACAUGCUGUGGUGAAAGCUGAACUAUUAGUUCUAAAAACCAGAGAUUGGUCAGAUUUGGAUUUUUAUAUUAAAAACUGAAUCUUGUCUCUUUAAAGAGAAAUCUGGGUAACACUUUUAUAGUAACUACACACUGUAAAUCAUUUGUU